rnacentral:rRNA from 1 species
UACAGAGGUCUCACGCGUUGUUCGGAUUCAUUGGGCGUAAAGGGUGCGUAGGCGGCGCGGUAAGUCGGGUGUGAAAUCUCGGAGCUUAACUCCGAAACUGCAUUCGAUACUGCCGUGCUUGAGGACUGGAGAGGAGACUGGAAUUUACGGUGUAGCGGUGAAAUGCGUAGAUAUCGUAAGGAAGGCCGGUGGCGAAAGCGAGCCUCUGGACAGUUACUGACGCUGAGGCGCGAAAGCCAGGGGAGCAAACGGG